GGUGAGGAGAGUGCAGGAGAGGGGGUAAUCGGUGGGGGGGAAGGGGUGGACGGGUUAGUUGGGCGUAAAGCGCGGUUAGGAGCCCCGGCAGGACCGUUGUGAAAACGGGAGGCUCAACUUCCAGACGGCGAUGGAAAGCGCCCGGCUAGAGUCCGGAAGAGGAGAGUGGAAUUCCUGGUGUAGCGGUGAAAUGCGAAGAUAUCAGGAAGAACACCAAUGGCGAAGGCAGCUCGCUGGGACGGUACUGACGCUGAGACGCGAAAGCGUGGGGAGCGAACAGGAUUAGAUACCCUAGUAGUC
rnacentral:rRNA from 1 species